AGUGAACGCUGGCGGUAGGCCUAACACAUGCGAGUCGAACGGCAGCACAGUAAGAGCUUGCUCUUACGGGUGGCGAGUGGCGGACGGGUGAGGAAUACAUCGGAAUCUACUUUUUCGUGGGGGAUAACGUAGGGAAACUUACGCUAAUACCGCAUACGACCUACGGGUGAAAGCAGGGGAUCUUCGGACCUUGCGCGAUUGAAUGAGCCGAUGUCGGAUUAGCUAGUUGGCGGGGUAAAGGCCCACCAAGGCGACGAUCCGUAGCUGGUCUGAGAGGAUGAUCAGCCACACUGGAACUGAGACACGGUCCAGACUCCUACGGGAGGCAGCAGUGGGGAAUAUUGGACAAUGGGCGCAAGCCUGAUCCAGCCAUUCCGCGUGGGUGAAGAAGGCCUUCGGGUUGUAAAGCCCUUUUGUUGGGAAAGAAAAGCAGCAGGUUAAUACCCCGCUGUUCUGACGGUACCCAAAGAAUAAGCACCGGCUAACUUCGUG
rnacentral:rRNA from 1 species